rnacentral:rRNA from 1 species
UACGUAGGUGGCGAGCGUUGUCCGGAUUUACUGGGCGUAAAGAGCGCGCAGGCGGCUGGUCAAGUCCGAUGUGAAAGCUCCCGGCUUAACUGGGAAAUUGCAUCGGAAACUGAUCGGCUGGAAGGUGGGAGAGGGUAGCGGAAUUCCCGGUGUAGUGGUGAAAUGCGUAGAUAUCGGGAGGAACACCAGUGGCGAAAGCGGCUACCUGGCCCAUUCUUGACGCUGAGGCGCGAAGCUAGGGGAGCAAACGGG